AAUGAAUGAAUAAAAGUCCCCUUUCUGCCAAAAAUCUCCAGCAAGCUGAAUAGAUCUGAUGUCCACAUGAUGAGCAGCCAGAGUCUAAGUUGGUCUGACUAAGACACUUGUUUGUGAAGUUCAUGGAUGUAAAGCUUGCUGCUUCUCAGUUCUCAGAUAUGUUGCUGUACACAAGCAAAGGAGUUGCAGGGACCAGCCACUUCCGGAUCCGGGGCCUCCUUCCCCUCCGAGGCAUGCUGGUGGAAGAAAGUGAUAACGAGUGGUCUGUUCCACACUGUUUCACCAUCUACGCGGCUCAGAAAACAAUCGUGGUGGCAGCCAGCACUCGGCUGGAGAAAGAGAAGUGGAUGCUCGACCUGAACUCCGCGAUCCAAGCAGCCAAGAGUGGCGGUGACACGGCCCCUGCACUGCCAGGCAGCACUGUGUGCACUCGUCCCCCCAGAUCCCCCAACGAGGUAUCUCUGGAGCAGGAGUCAGAAGAUGACGCUCGGGGUGCCCGCAGCUCCCUGGAGGGGCAUGGCCAGCACCGGGCCAACACCACAGUGCACGUGUGCUGGUACCGGAACACCAGCGUG
rnacentral:sRNA from 1 species